AGUAAAACAGAGUGAAAACCAAAUCCUAUGGCGCUUCUUCUUCUGAGACCUCCUUCUCCUCCAUAUCUUCACUUCAUGGCCUUACGCUUUCUCUCACACUCUUCUCUUCACCCUCACUUCCCCUCCUCUUCUUCUUCUUUCUCGUCUUCCUCUCUUGCUCGUCCCUCCCUCCCUCUUGUUCAACCCACAACCCAGGUGCUUUUCCCUUUCAUAUUUUGCCCCUCAUUUUAAAACAGAUAAGUAUUGGAAGCACAGGACCUCGUGGUCUUCACCAUUUGGUCUAUGAAAUAUUAGAUAAUGCUGUGGAUGAGGCUCAAGCCGGAUUUGCUUCAAAGAUGGAGGUUGUUUUACUUGCAGAUGGUUCUGUGAGCAUCGCUGACAAUGGUCGUGGGGUAUGCUACAUCUUCUAUGCCUUUUAGUCAAAAGCUUCACAAAUCCUUUUUUGUAUAUAUUAGAGUAAGAACACAGAGUCGUGAUUUCUUA